rnacentral:lncRNA from 1 species
UCACUCAGGGCAAUAUGCUCUCAGUGACUGAAAAGCCAGAUCCUCACAAGAGGAAUGCCUUCUGGAGAAAUGGUCCAUGCACCCUGCACUUCCCUGUUGAUCAAAGGCACCACAGCUGUCCCAGGGACAAUAGCUUAAAAUUGCCUCAAGUCUCAGCAAAGAUUCAGCUUCAAGAAAGUGACAGUAGCAGAGGGAAUUGGGCAUAUUUACAAACAAAGUAAAAGUAACUCAUUAUGAAAGUAAAAUUUAAUUGCCAAUUAUUGCACAUUUUUGUAGCAUGGAUUUUGUACAUUUACUGAAAGCCUCUUCAUGUGCAUUCUGCUCUUUUAAUAGAG